ensembl:snRNA U2 U2 spliceosomal RNA
AUCACUUCUUGGCCUUUUGGCUAAGAUCAAGUGUAGUAUCAAAUGCAUUUUCCAUAAGCUUUUUGAAGUACCCUUG